AACGCACCUUGCGCUCCUUGGUAUUCCGAGGAGCAUGCCUGUUUGAGUGUCAUGAAAUUCUCAACCUUACCGGUCUUUGCAGAUCGGGUAAGGCUUGGACUUGGAGGCUUGUCGGCCUUGUGGUCGACUCCUCUCAAAUGCAUUAGCCUGGUUCCUUGCGGAUCGGCUCUCGGUGUGAUAAUUGUCUACGCCGCGACCGUGAAGCGUUUGGCUGGCUUCUAACCGUCUCGAUGGAGACAGCUUUCUGACCUCUGACCUCAAAUCAGGUAGGACUACCCGCUGAACUUAA
rnacentral:misc_RNA from 1 species